AGAUUCCGGAGUCGAAGCAAGCUA
rnacentral:piRNA from 1 species